rnacentral:lncRNA from 1 species
AUAAAGGUAUCAAGUUUAAAUAAUUAUAAAUCUACGUCUGGAUAGAACACACAGUUUUGGUGCUUUUUUUCAAUAGUUUUUACUCCUCAAUAAUAUUUUUGUAGGAGACUAAAUUCUGAGAUAUGCAGAUAGGAAUGAAUUCCAUGUAUUCUCUAUGGGAACAACUUAAAAGAAUAACAAGGGAUUUUACCACGUUCAAACAUUUUGAAGAAAUAAGGAAUUCUAACUCUCAUUGUUUAAACAUUUAAAACUUAAAGUUCCAAGUCUCACCAAAAACUCCACCAACCCAUUUUUAUUCUGGAAAACAUUGGUAAAAAAGAUCUCUACAAUUUCAAGAUCAUACAUACUUCACUCCUUAUUCGGAACCUCCCACUUCCGAAAAUAGUGAAAUAGACUUAGUGGACAUUAAUCUAAUUUCAUCAACAAUAGAAGAUAUUUCUCCUGAGAUAAAACAUCUAAAGGAAAUAAAUACCCACAUACAAAUCCAAGUUAGAGUCUAUGAAGCAGAAAUAAAGGAAUUAAAGAAGAAGUUGAAGGAGAAAGAUGUCAAAAUUUGGGACGCAAAUUCAAAGUUUAAGUCUUUAAAAAUACGCCUCUCAUCGGUAUUUAAUUCAAACCAUAUAAAACAUUUUAUGUUGCAAGUCUUCACAUUGAAAAAAUUGGUAUAAUAAAACCAUCGAUAAUUCACUUCAGUUAAGAUUUGUUAAGGAACUAUUAAUCUAUUGCGCCAAGAACUGUUUGGAUUAAUUUGCAAAAAUAGAGGCUUUAUUCAAAUUUUAUGUAAAUCAAUUCCAAAAAAUGAAAAAAAUUGUAAACUCAAUAACUGAAGUAGCGGUUCCAUUAAUUAAGUCGUCUAUAAAUGUCGCAAAAUGUCAUAAAAUUUUAAUUUUUACUGUGUCUAAGUCAUUUACGCAUGCAAACUGCGAUCAUCAAAGAAAAUACAAUAGCUUCUUCUACUUUCAGAAGACGAAGAAUAUGCAUGCAAAAUUAAGUAAGUUAAAGAAACUAUUAUUAAAGUAAUUAUUAAUGACUUUCGACAGCUCUUAUCUUCAUUUAGAUGGAAGAUGGAAUCCUCAUUAUCAAUUUCCUGAUGGACUUCAACAGUUCUUCUAAUAUUUGAUUAGAAAUUGAUAGGACCAUGUUUGAACCUAAAAAAGAGACUGAAAAUAAGGAUAUAAAUGAUAAUAAUCUUUAUACAUUCAUCAAUAUUAGUUUCCAAUGUCAAAAGUAAAGCUUAUUCUCAGUUUUUAUUGAAUAUUCAACAGUAUUAAUUCCUUAAACAAUCCAACAAAAACUCUAUAAAAAUAAUUUGAGG